UUGAUUUUCAAUUUAAUUUCGUUAGAACAACUUUUCUAGAAAACAAAUUCCUUUACAUAAAACGGAUUACAUAUACAACGUUGUUUCCAUAUUCCAGGCGAAGACACCGAUCCCUUUUCUUCGUGAAAUCCAAAUCUCGCAAGCCUCCAAUAAAUGCCUCCACUAGCUCUUCCUUGCUUGAUCCAGGCCAAGACUCAUUAUCCUUACGACAUUGAUUAGCUCCAUUAAGAAAAUCGAGAUGCGACGGCUCUCGAACAAUCUUUAUCGGUUUGAAUCUCCAGGUAAAGACUUGUUUUUAUCCACGAACUAUCAGCCUUCAUCCUUCAAUUCAGACAACUGUAUUAUAAUCCACUUUAUCAAGAAAUUCAUUUUCUUAUGACAAACUGUUCUAUUUAGCAAUAAAAUAUGAAUCAACAUCUCAUUUCUAUGAUGAUGUAAUGCAAUGCAAUUAUAAAAAAAACAAAACACGUUAGUACAAGUGAGAUAAAUAUCAAAUAAAGUACCUAUUCAGGUGACCACUAAAUUUGGGCAAGGUUCUACUUAAGGUGGAUUCUCAAGGUUCACUAUAUGUAGCUCGGUUCUAGAAAAAAGGUGCCUGACCCAGCAAAUUCCUCAAUUCUCACCCAUUAUAGGCUCAUAUGAAUCUAGUUCGGUUCAGGGGAAUACAUUUCCCUAUGACCAUGCAGAGAUGAAAAUCUCACGAAAUCAUAGCUACGGAUGUAUCCCAAAAACAAUCCACUAGCCCAUACGGAGGAGAAAACCUCACGAAAGCAUAGUUUCUUACUCCCACUUAACAGGUAUAACCACAGCGGUCAUGCAAUGCAAUGCCAUAUUAUUCUACAAGACUCGAACCACAACAAUCAUGCAAACAAAUGCAAUUAAAAGAAUCAUGAUUUUCAAAACAAAUUUUCAAUUCUUUGACAAAAGGACAGCAAAUAAUCAAUUUUAUGGCCUGACUCUCUUUGUUCAAUCCCUAGUGGAGUCGCUAAGCUGUCGAAACCAUUUUUUCAAGUUAGGAAAAAACAGGGAUCGACCUUUAAAACCGAGUGUGGAGUUGCCACCAAUCUUUGUGAUUGGAUCACCUAAUAAAACAUUUUAAAACAAUUUUGGUCCACGUAAAUUUAAAAAAAUGGGUUCGGGAACUGGUUACGUAUGAGGAAGGGUUAGCACCCUUACUACGCCCAAAGAUUGGUACCAGAUUGAUUACAUGUUAUCCUUAUGUUUAAGGUUUUAGAAAAGAAAUUUUGAAAUAUGAUUAUUAUUAGAGCACGUGCGUGGUUCAAAUUGGUUGUCAAAAUUCUCUCGUUUCAAAGACAUGCAGCAUCAUAUCCAGCACGAUUGGACACGAUCCUUUAUACCUUCAAAAAUACGAUUGAUUUUUCACUGUCAAAUGCUCGUACGUUAAAAUUAUAAAAGGAUACUCGAAUAUUUAGUUCAACGAAAAAUCAUACCCAGCACAGUAAGGCACAAUUUCCCGAAUUCCUGAAUAUUGAAUACUGCUUAUUUCAGGAUUUUUGAAUAAUAAGGAAAAUUGGAACUUAGCUCAAAACGCUUUAAUUUUUCUUGAAAUAAAAAUGAGACAGCUAAUAUCAACCAAAAUAUUGAAAUUUGAAUCAAGAUGCAACAAUAUAGAAAAAAUCAAAGUUACAAACAUGGAUUACUAUACGAAAUAUUAUACAAGUAAACAAAAAGAACAAAUUAACAUAAUUUAAAUAAUAGUACAAAAGGCUAAUAAUCAAUAUAAAACAACAAUACAUGAAAUAAUAUGAAAACUAAAGUGACACAUAGCACACAAAAUAAUUUGGAAACAAUUUGAAAACUAUUAAAUAUAUGAAAACUUACAAAAUGAACAAUACAUGAUUGGGUUUGAAAUGAUGUACAUAUAUAAAAUAAAACUAAGAAUAUGUAAAUGAAUAUGAAAAUAAACGUUGUGAAAGAAGACAUUUGGAGCUAAUAACAUGCAAGAAUGUUUUAAAAACAAAACCUAUAUAUUUAAAGGUGUUAAUGUACAUACAAUAAUAAAGAUCAAUAAAACAAUAUAUAAUGAAAAUAUAACAUAAUAACAAAGAAUAAACAAUAUACAUGAAAGAAGAACGAACCAAUAUACAAUGAAACUAUAUAUAGAUGAAAGAAUCUUAAAUAACAAAGAAAUAAUAAUAUAUGUAUUUUUUAAAGAAUAAAUUAUAUACAUAAUAAAUUUAAAAGGAAAUACAAAUAAAUAUAUUUAAAAGAAAUUAUAUAUAUAAUAACAUAGAAUUAAUAGUGUUUAUAAUAUAAAACUAAUUUUAAUAUAAAUUAUAUUUUACUAAUAUAUAUACAUAAGGGUAGUUAAAUUAAAUAUUAUGGAAAAAUUUCAAACAAGAUAAUAUAGAAUAUCUUAAAAUAAUAACUAUAUAAUUAAACAAAUAAAGAAAAAAACAAAUGUAAGUGAAAUACUAGAUUGAAAUGAAGUAAAAAUGAUUAGAGCAAUUCAAAAUAUAUAUAUAAAUAAUUUUCUAAAGAAAUGAAUAUUAAAAAAUAUAUAUAUUGAGAUGAAAGAAAAACUUAAUUGAAGUAAAAUCAAACUUAAAAAGAUAAUUAAUAAAAAAACUAUUGAAAUAAUGACUAAAUCACAGUAUGCGCGAACGUUCAGGGAUCAAAACUAAAAAUUACCCAGAUCCCAAAACAUGGCUCCUAAGUGCAUACCUAAUUGCAAAGACACGCAAAUUCUAGGGACAAAUUGUAACAAAAUAAAAUGUAAAUAAGGAUCAACGAAAAGUCUGCGCAAAAACAAGGGACUUGUCGCUCAAAUUUACCAUCCGAAACGCCAAGGCGCAGAUCCAGCCUGUGGAUUGGGCUUGCGCGCGGAUCUGCCCCCUAUACAUGGCACCGUUUUAGUUAAUUCCUAACUAAAAGAAAUUAAAUGGCAAUCUGCCAAUUCCCUCAAACAACCGAAGCAAAUCCUUAGCUUUUCCCCCUUCUAACUGUCAGUUCAUCUCCGCAUAAUGGUGCUCUCAAUCUUGGAGUAACCUUUUAGCCUUGGAGUCUCUUUUGAUUCGAUUUCAACGAAACAAAAAGAAGAAAUCCAUGGCAUAUUCGCACGGUAAGGUUUUCCCUUUCUUUUGUUUUUUUUUUUAUGUUUUAAAUGCGAAAAAACUAAAAGACCAAAAGAAUAAAUCGAAAAGAAAAUCAAAAGCCUCAAGAACUUUGGAUUAGAAAAUCAC
rnacentral:lncRNA from 1 species